rnacentral:rRNA from 1 species
CGUUAUCCGGAUUCACUGGGUUUAAAGGGUGCGUAGGCGGGNAGGUAAGUCCGUGGUGAAAUCUCNGAGCUUAACUCNGAAACUGCCAUGGAUACUAUUUGUCUUGAAUNUUGUGGAGGUAAGCGGAAUAUGUCAUGUAGCGGUGAAAUGCUUAGAUAUGACAUAGAACACCAAUUGCGAAGGCAGCUUACUACACANNUAUUGACGCUGAGGCACGAAAGCGUGGGGAUCAAACAGGAUUAGAUACCCUGGUAGUCCACGCCCUAAACGAUGAUUACUCGACAUCAGCGAUACACUGUUGGUGUCUGAGCGAAAGCAUUAAGUANUCCACCUGGGAAGUACGAUCGCAAGAUUGAAACUCAAAGGAAUUGACGGA